CCCUUAGAGUUUGAUCCUGGCUCAGGACGAACGCUGGCGGCGUGCUUAACACAUGCAAGUCGAACGAAGAGCGAUGGAAGCUUGCUUCUAUCAAUCUUAGUGGCGAACGGGUGAGUAACGCGUAAUCAACCUGCCCUUCAGAGGGGGAUAACAGUUGGAAACGACUGCUAAUACCGCAUACGAUCCAAUCCCGGCAUCGGGACUGGAUGAAAGGUGGCCUCUAUUUAUAAGCUAUCGCUGGAGGAGGGGAUUGCGUCUGAUUAGCUAGUUGGAGGGGUAACGGCCCACCAAGGCAAUGAUCAGUAGCCGGUCUGAGAGGAUGAACGGCCACAUUGGGACUGAGACACGGCCCAGACUCCUACGGGAGGCAGCAGUGGGGAAUCUUCCGCAAUGGACGAAAGUCUGACGGAGCAACGCCGCGUGAGUGAUGACGGCCUUCGGGUUGUAAAGCUCUGUUAAUCGGGACGAAUGGUUCUUGUGCAAAUAGUGCGAGGAUUG
rnacentral:rRNA from 1 species